CAGUCGCCGCGGGAAUACGGAGGGGGCUAGCGUUGUUCGGAAUUACUGGGCGUAAAGCGCACGUAGGCGGCUUUGUAAGUCAGAGGUGAAAGCCCGGGGCUCAACCCCGGAAUUGCCUUUGAGACUGCAUCGCUUGAAUCCAGGAGAGGUGAGUGGAAUUCCGAGUGUAGAGGUGAAAUUCGUAGAUAUUCGCAGGAACACCAGUGGCGAAGGCGGCUAACUGGUCCAUUACUGACGCUGAGGCUCGAAAGCGUGGGGAGCAAACAGGAUUAGAUACCCGGGUAGUCCCUGUCUCUUAUAC
rnacentral:rRNA from 1 species